GCUGGGCAUGGUGGCGCGUGCCUGUAAUCCCGGCUGCUCGGGAGGCUGAGGCAGGAGAAUCGCUUGAACCCAGGAGGCAGAGGUUGCAGUGAGCCGAGUUUGCACCACUGCACUCCAACCUGGGCGACAGAGCGAGACCCUGGCUCAA
rnacentral:SRP_RNA from 1 species